UCCCUCAGCGCGCUGUCCCUGCGAGCCCUCAGUGCUGGAUCUAUGUCGUUUAGAUGGGCUAGAUGCAGAUGCCACACGCCAUUAGCCCACAGGUUGGAACGGCAGAAAGUUUGAUUUCACAUUUGUUCGCCGCGUUUCCUCCUCCUCUCCUUCUUCCUUUUCUUCUUCUCCCUUUCUUCUUCUCCUUCUUCUUCUUCUUCUUCUUCUCCUCCUCUGCUUGGAUACCGCUGACUUAGGCAUUGGAUAUGUGCACACAGGAUGAUGACAACCCCUUUCCUCCCCGUAGAAGUAAAAUAAAAUAGGCUUUCGCACACACUGGAUUUACUCUUCUCGUUCCAUAUGAAGAAGCCAAAAAUUUGGAUACUGGUCUGUGUCCAUUUACUGCUGUUCAUCACGUUUGGGGUACAUUCAAGUAAAUUUGACGUCAACCCAGUGACGGAUGACAUCUCUAGACUUUCUAUUCUGAGACAAAAUAUUCCUAAAGAUUACAAAAUUCCUGUACACUACAUUCCAAAAGAAGAGGGAGGGAUGUGUUGGGUAAAAUUAAACGUCUUCUACUUGGAGGAGAGUUUGAAAGAUUUAGCACAUAAGUUUGGAAAUAUUUCAUCCAACAGAAGAGAUAUUAGCAUAUUCAACCAAAUGCUCGAAGAACUGCGGCUCAACAUGGGGUCUGUGGAGCCGAUCAUGUAUGAUUUUGAGUGCCACUACAGAAAAGACAGGUGGCAGACAGUGCGGUACUUUGACUUUGUCAAAGACUUCCUUAUAGCUGCACAGAAUAAAGAAGAAUCAGAUGACUGUGAUCCUCCUCCCUGUCCUACAACACAAGACACAGUAACAACAGAAUAUUCAACAGAUUCACCACUGCCCACCAAUAAAGGCACAACGUGUGCAGGCUGCACUACAGGUGAAACGAGCGCCCUGACUGAGGUGGUGGAGCGAAGCCUUCUCUCUUUACUUUUCAUUCCACUCCUAGCGCUCGUAUUCCUGCUCGUGUGGAAGGUCCGAUCACGGAGGGAUGAAGUGGAUCUUCAGCAGAAUCCGGAUGAAGGCGGACGCUUCACAGGAACAGAAGCGACUGCAGCUCCACUAGAUGCUGAAAUAUCAGAAAAAAACAAGUUGAACGUCAUUGAAAUAGUGUAACGCUUCCACCCUUCCAUGUUCUUCAGCGUAAUUGGGUUCUUCUCUUUCCUCCUACUGGUGUCCAAAGGUGAUGAAAAACAAACAUUAAGCUGAAAGGUAAAAGGCGCUUCCUGACUACGAUUAACGAGAGGGCAAAUUCACAAUUGCCCCGGCCGAGAGGCUUCCCGAUGAACGACGCCUCCCACUGAUGGAUGAGCUUGCGUUGCUGCGCAGACCCCAUACUUUUGAAAAAGACAGUGAGAUUUUUUGCAGCGAUAAACCUGCCCUUGCCACACCCCCACCCACUGGAUUCUCUGGCUCCUGCUAAUCAUCCAUCAACCCCCGUGAUGCAUUCUGAACUCUUGGAGUAAAAACAUCCCCCUUCUGCAGGUUGCUCCAUCCGCCUGUGUUUUUGGGCCCACCAGUUCAUCAUCAGACAGUGAAGCGAAGAGUUACUGACACUGGUUAUCUCUUGGAUGAACUGAGGCACAAAUUACUACCUCUGGUGACCCUCAUGCUAACCGCAUCUUCAACCGCUCUACAGUUUCUUCAUAGUCAAAAACUUUCCUAAAGAAUAUAAUGUUAAGCAUUGUAGUUCCAAGGCAUAGUCCCAUGGUUUGGUUAAGGCAUGUACCCAUGUACUUCUACUAAAGGGUCACAUUUAAAGAACAAUCUAUAUUCAAACACGUCGUAAUCCCGACAAACACAGAACAGGUUACAUUUCCUCAUAUGUUGUUGUUGCCGCCGUUGUCGUUGUUGUUGUUGUUGUUGUUGUUGUUGUCGUCGGUAUAUAUGACUCGGCUGAUAUAGGUUGUACGAAUGAAUUACAUGGAGAACAAAACGCAUAUAUACAAAAUCUGGUGCUUUGACUGACGUUUAGAGCAUUGAAACCGGCAAUGACAUUCUGCUAACAAGUAUCAGGGAUGACUUCUGUGGAUCCAGGGAUUUUCUAAAACAAGGUGAAUUCAAAAAGUAGUUAGACGCAUGGAAGACAAUGAUGGGCCUCCCAUAGUAAAUGUUAGCUUUGCAAUGCCUUUAUUUUUACUUUUUUACUCAUGUCACCUUUUAUGCUCGCAUAGCAAAAACUGUUACAGAGAUUUGUUGACGUCCAUUCCUCUACAAAAGGAAAAGAAACUAUAUUUCCAUGUUUGUAAAAAAAAGAGAACGGAUUAAAUAAGAUUGAAUAUACAAAUGCUAUAUAAUAUAACAUUUUUAAUCAAGUUAUCAAUUCUUUAUUGUUCACUCAACGACGAAAUAUAUUUAUAUUGCUGACUUUGCCUUUGGUAUCAGUGUUGUGCUUGUAUAAUAA